AACCUAUUGCGAGGGCACCUUCUCAAUAAAUCCUUGUAUCUCUCCCAUGCAUCAUAAAGUAUUUCUAAAUCUAUUUGCACAAAAGAAGAGAUAUCAUUCCUCAAUUU
rnacentral:snoRNA from 1 species